rnacentral:rRNA from 1 species
CCUACGGGAGGCAGCAGUAGGGAAUCUUCCACAAUGGACGCAAGUCUGAUGGAGCAACGCCGCGUGAGUGAUGAAGGGCUUCGGCUUGUAAAGCUCUGUUGGUAGUGAAGAAAACUGGAGGAAGUAACUGGCCUUUAUUUUACGUUAAUUACUUAGAAAGUCACGGCUAACUACGUGCCAGGAGCCGGGGUAAUACGUAGUUGGCAAGCGAUGUCCGGAUUUGUUGGGCGUAAAGGGAGUGCAGGCGGUUCGUUAAGUCUGAUGUGAAAGCCUUCGGCCCAACCGGAGAAUUGCAUCAGAAACUGUUGAACUUGAGUGCAGAAGAGGAGAGUGGAACUCCAUGUGUAGCGGUGGAAUGCGUAGAUAUAUGGAAGAACACCAGUGGCGAAGGCGGCUCUCUGGACUGCAACUGACGCUGAGGCUCGAAAGCAUGGGUAGCGAACAGGAUUAGAUACCCUUGUAGUC